UACGGAGGGUGCAAGCGUUAAUCGGAAUUACUGGGCGUAAAGCGCGCGUAGGCGGUUUUUUAAGUCGGAUGUGAAAGCCCCGGGCUCAACCUGGGAACUGCNUCCGAUACUGGAAGACUAGAAUGCGGGAGAGGGAGGUAGAAUUCCAUGUGUAGCAGUGAAAUGCGUAGAUAUAUGGAGGAAUACCAGUGGCGAAGGCGGCCUCCUGGCUCGACAUUGACGCUGAGGUGCGAAAGCGUGGGGAGCAAACGGG
rnacentral:rRNA from 1 species